AUGUGACACUUCUCUCCUUCCUAGGUUCUGCCCACAGGGGAGAUUGUUACAUAUAUCCUGGGCCCAGCUCCAAGAUGUUACUCAUUUGCCUUGGCCCUGUCUUCAGAAGGGUCUUGCUUAUAGAAGAGAUUGUUACAUAUCUCUGUUCCCAGCGUCUAAGUGAUGUAACUCUCCUCACCCGCCUGGGCCAUUUCCACAGAUGAAAAAGUGACUUAUCCCUGGGCCAAGCACACAGGCAAUCGGAUUUAUUUCUCCUAGUCUCUUUCUACAGGGGGCAUUGCAAAGUAUCUAUUAGCCCAUCAACUAUUUGAUGUUAAUCUCUUCUCUUACCUGGGCUUUGCCCAUAGGGGAUGUUGUAACAUAUCUCAUGGGCCAGCAUGUAGGAGAUGACACUCUCCUCUGAUUGUUACAUAUUGCUUUACUCAGCACUUACUUGAUGUGACUCUCCUCUCAUGCAUUGUCCCUGCCCCUUGGGAUGAUUGUAACAUAUAGCUGGCUGUAGUCCCUAGGUUAUAUAACUUUCCUCUUCUUCCUGAUCCCUACCCACAGAAGGCAUUGUGCCGUAUCUCUGGGGCUCUCGCCUAGGUGAUGUGGCUCUCCUGCUUUGAUCUUCCUUUCAGAAAGUAUUGUGAUGUAUUGCUGAACCUAGAACCUAGGUGAUGUGGCUCUCCUCUACUGUUUGGGCUCUGACCAAAAAGAGAUUGUGACAUAUCACUAGGCCCAGCACCUAAGUGUUGUGGCUCUCUGCCCUCUCCUAGGCACUGCCUACAUUGUGUAUGUUGACAUAUGGCUGGAUCCAAAACCAAAAUAAUGCAACUCUUUUGCAUUGGCAACGUCCACAUGUGUAUUACCACGUAUCUUUUUUUUAGCUCUGAAAUUGAGCUCUGAAAUAAUCUGGAUCUUUGA